rnacentral:rRNA from 1 species
AUGAUCUCUGCCUACGCUGGAAGUGGACGUGCCGACCAGGCAUUCCGGCUUGUGCACCGGAUGAGUGAGGAUACAAAAGAUGAUAGCCAUAGCAAUGCAGCGUUGGAGUGUAUCCGGUUGAUUAGAAGCCAUGGCUUUUUGGUCGACAAAUGCAGUGUGCCAACUCAACGGUGCUUCCCAUGUGCACAGAUGUCAAGGAUUUGGCUAAGGGUUACCAGCUCUUGGCCCUCCGAAUCAAAACAGGACUCUGUCAAAUUCUGUCGUUUACAGUGCUCUUAUCGGCAUGUUGUCCAUGUCUCACAGACUACCUGA